AGUGAACGCUGGCGGUAGGCCUAACACAUGCAAGUCGAACGGCAGCACAGUAAGAGCUUGCUCUUACGGGUGGCGAGUGGCGGACGGGUGAGGAAUACAUCGGAAUCUACUUUUUCGUGGGGGAUAACGUAGGGAAACUUACGCUAAUACCGCAUACGACCUACGGGUGAAAGCAGGGGAUCUUCGGACCUUGCGCGAUUGAAUGAGCCGAUGUCGGAUUAGCUAGUUGGCGGGGUAAAGGCCCACCAAGGCGACGAUCCGUAGCUGGUCUGAGAGGAUGAUCAGCCACACUGGAACUGAGACACGGUCAAGACUCCUACGGGAGGCAGCAGUGGGGAAUAUUGGACAAUGGGCGCAAGCCUGAUCCAGCCAUACCGCGUGGGUGAAGAAGGCCUUCGGGUUGUAAAGCCCUUUUGUUGGGAAAGAAAAGCAGCAGGUUAAUACCCCGCUGUUCUGACGGUACCCAAAGAAUAAGCCCCGGCUAACUUC
rnacentral:rRNA from 1 species